rnacentral:rRNA from 1 species
UCUUCGGCAAUGGGCGAAAGCCUGACCGAGCGACGCCGCGUGCGGGAUGAAGGCCUUCGGGUUGUAAACCGCUGUCGUAGAGGAGGAAAUGCAGGGGGGUUCUCCCUCCUGUUUGACCUAUUCUAGGAGGAAGGACGGGCUAAGUUCGUGCCAGCAGCCGCGGUAAGACGAACCGUCCAAACGUUACUCGGAAUUACUGGGCUUAAAGGGUGCGUAGGCUGCGCGGAAAGUUGGGUGUGAAAGCCCUCAGCUCAACUGGGGAAUUGCAUUCAAAACUACCGUGCUCGAGGGAGACAGAGGUAAGCGGAACUCAAGGUGGAGCGGUGAAAUGCGUUGAUAUCUUGAGGAACACCGGUGGCGAAGGCGGCUUACUGGGUCUCUUCUGACGCUGAGGCACGAAAGCUAAGGUAGCAAACGGGAUUAGAUACCCCGGUAGUCUUAGCUGUAAACGAUGAGCACUUGUUUGAAGGGUCCUCCAUAGCCUUUCAGACGUAGCGAAAGUGUUAAGUGCUCCGCCUGGGGA